rnacentral:rRNA from 1 species
UACGUAGGGGGCUAGCGUUGUCCGGAAUCAUUGGGCGUAAAGAGCGUGUAGGCGGCUCGAUAAGUCCGCUGUGAAAGUCCAGGGCUCAACCCUGGGAUGCCGGUGGAUACUGUCGGGCUCGAGUCCGGAAGAGGCGAGUGGAAUUCCUGGUGUAGCGGUGAAAUGCGCAGAUAUCAGGAGGAACACCAAUGGCGAAGGCAGCUCGCUGGGACGUGACUGACGCUGAUGCGCGAAAGCGUGGGGAGCAAACGGG